rnacentral:rRNA from 1 species
GACGAACCGUGCUAACGUUAUUCGGAAUCACUGGGCUUAAAGGGCGCGUAGGCGGGCAAGCAAGUCGAAGGUGAAAUCCCACGGCUCAACCGUGGAAGUGCCCCCGAUACUGCUUGUCUUGAGGGAGAUAGGGGCGUGCGGAACUUCCGGUGGAGCGGUGAAAUGCGUAGAUAUCGGAAGGAACACCGGUGGCGAAAGCGGCGCGCUGGAUCUCUUCUGACGCUGAGGCGCGAAAGCCAGGGGAGCAAACGGG